UGUGUGUGUGUGUGUGUGUGUGUGUGUGUGUGUGUGUGUGUGUGUGUGUGUAGUAGUGAAAAGGCAGACUGUGUUGUACCCUGUGUCCUCUCUGAAGGGGUUAUUGUGAAGGCUCUAGCCUGCUGCUUCUGAUGCUGCUCCCUCUGAGGAAGAGCAUCCUGAAAAACAUGACCAUGAUCUCCUUUUACUGGGACACUCACAUCUCAACCUCCACAUACCAGUCAAAGACACUUCUGCCCAAAUGCAAAAAGAGUCUGGUAAGCUAACGCCUCAAACUGUGGUCAGAGGGAGCUGGGGUGCAGACAGCAGACAACAGAUGGUUGGGGGUGGAAGUAGAGGUGUUUGGGGUGGAGAGGACGGUGGACUCAGUGGACGACAUCCCAGCCAUUUACCUGAUGGGUAAGUUGACAUCACUUCUACUUAUACAAUCAACCAAACAAAUUUCAAUGGCUUUUUUUCCCCACCAGCAGAUGUCACAAAGUGCUUUUACAGUAACCCGGCCUACACCAGGGGAACCCGGGACAUACAGGGCACCACUGUUCCUGCCUCUCUUUCUCCCUGUGUGAUGACAUAUCCUGUUUAGGCACCUGGCCAGCUGAGUGCAGCUGGCUCUCCCGUCAACAUGAGGAUCCUGCUGCUCCAGCCCCAAAAACACAUUGGCACACAGACACACACACGCACACUAUUAGGAAUGCUAGCCUAUUUAAAUGUUUGUGUGUUGUGUGUCAGAGUUAAGGGAUAGUAAGACAGUGUUUGAGAAGAGGUGUCUGGUGUGGGAGGAGGACAUGGAGAUGCACUCCAAGUUUCUGGACAGAAAGGAAGAGUUGAAGGCGGAGCAUGCCUUGUACCUGCAGCAGCACCUGGAGCUCCUUGCCAUGAUGGCCAACUUCUUGCAGUUCCUUUCACCACGAAAACUGAGCAAUGUCUUGUUUGCCCUUGGACUUCUCCCCCUUCUCCUCCCACUUACAUCCAGGUGGCACAUUCAACACCUCUCCUUGUCAACACACUGGCUGGGUCUCAAUAGUCUGUUAGCUUCCUCUCACAGGCGCUAUAGUGAGGACAAUACUCUUGUCAUUAUUAUGAACAUGAGGCCCUCCAUCAUCAAAUAUUAAUGCUUUAAUGGAAGUUUUGUAUUUUAAUUGUGAGAAAUGUUUUACCGUUAUUGUUUGACUGAGCUUCACUGAAAACAAUUCCAAUCAACUCUGUUGAUAUGGCAAUGCAAGAGUUAGUUACAGUGUGUCUUAUACAUUUUCCAUGGUUGAUUUCUGUUAUGAACUUUGUGGUAAUUUUAGUAACUGCUACUUUGCUUUUGCUCUGAUGUGAUCACCCAAUACAUUUGUAAGAAUAAAGUU